UAGGGAAUCUUGCACAAUGGGCGAAAGCCUGAUGCAGCAACGCCGCGUGAAGGAUGAAGGCCUUCGGGUUGUAAACUUCUGUUCUAAGGGAAGAAACAAAUGACGGUACCUUAGGAGCAAGCCCCGGCUAACUACGUGCCAGCAGCCGCGGUAAUACGUAGGGGGCAAGCGUUAUCCGGAAUUAUUGGGCGUAAAGAGUGCGUAGGUGGUUACCUAAGCGCAAGGUUUAAUUUAGAGGCUCAACCUCUACUUGCCUUGCGAACUGGGCUACUUGAGUGCAGGAGGGGAAAGCGGAAUUCCUAGUGUAGCGGUGAAAUGCGUAGAUAUUAGGAGGAACACCAGCGGCGAAGGCGGCUUUCUGGACUGUAACUGACACUGAGGCACGAAAGCGUGGGUAGCAAACAGGAUUAGAUACCCUGGUAGUCCACGCCGUAAACGAUGAGCACUAGGUGUUGGGCCCGUUAGGGCUCAGUGCCGAAGUUAACGCAAUAAGUGCUCCGCCUGGGGAGUACGCUCGCAAGAGUA
rnacentral:rRNA from 1 species